rnacentral:rRNA from 1 species
UACGUAGGGUGCGAGCGUUAAUCGGAAUUACUGGGCGUAAAGCGUGCGCAGGCGGUUCGUUGUGUCCGAUGUGAAAGCCCCGGGCUUAACCUGGGAAUGGCAUUGGAAACUGGCGAGCUUGAGUGCGGCAGGAGGGGGUGGAAUUCCGCGUGUAGCAGUGAAAUGCGUAGAGAUGCGGAGGAACACCGAUGGCGAAGGCAGCCCCCCUGGGUCGACACUGACGCUCAGGCACGAAAGCGUGGGGAGCAAACAGG